CCCGCCUCUCGGACGUGUUUCUUAUAGGAGGUUGCGGCCCUGGUGGCGGUCCCAGGGAGUUGUGCAGCCCCGGGCACACGGGCAGGAAGCUCUUUCUCAUCACGGCAGCCAGCCCAUUCAGCGCCAGUGCCGUGUAGCCCCGUGCUGGGCUCUGGUGGCUCAGGUGGUGGCAGGCGCCAGCCUGGAGGGGGCAGCCGAGUGUCCAGUUGUUCCCGGGAAGGAGCUCCUGCUGUGGCCAAAGGAGGCCCUUUGUGUCUCGCGUCCCUGGAUACGUGCCCGCCCCAUCCUUCCUGACUGGGCCUCAGAGAUGACGUCCCGUAUGGACAGCUAAUUUUCGACAAGGCAGCCAAGAGCAUACAAUGGAGAAAGGAAAGUCUCUUCAGUACACGGUGCUGGGAAAACUGGACAGCCACGUGCAAAAGAAUGAGACUAGACCGCUAUCUUACACCAUCCACGAAAAUUAACUCAAAGUGGGUUAAAGACUUGCACGUAAGACCCAAAACCGUAAACCUCCUAGAAGAGUCUCGCUAGCACCUUCCUUCCUCGCUGCCACCUGAGCUGGCGGGGCCCGAGCGCAGGGCGAGCCUGGGGACCC
ensembl:lncRNA